ACGUCAAAUCAUCAUGCCCCUUAUGCCCUGGGCUACACACGUGCUACAAUGGCCGGCACAACGGGACGCGAUGCCGCGAGGCGGAGCAAACCCCCAAAACCGGCCCCAGUUCGGAUUGCAGGCUGCAACUCGCCUGCAUGAAGCCGGAGUUGCUAGUAAUCGCAGAUCAGAAUGCUGCGGUGAAUGCGUUCCCGGGUCUU
rnacentral:rRNA from 1 species